UGUUGUUUCUGUUUGCUGCCAAAAAGGCAGCCGCUCUCUCCGGGCGCUCUCUCUUUUUUUGGGGCUCCCACGCGUGCACUCCCCUCAGAAUAAAUCGUUAAUUGGCGAUUCGCGAAAAAUAUCAAGGAAAAUGCAAAGGUUUAGCGAAAUCAACGCGGUGCAGUGCAAUACGCUAACAAGCAAGGAAAUCGGCAACAAAAAAGAUACAGUGGUGCAAUCAAGAAGCUUUCCGUGGCUUCGUGUGUGCGUGUGUGUGUGUGCUCAAGUUCAUGGUGUUUGUUUGGUUGUCAGCAACAACAACAAUAACAUAAACAACAAACACACAAAUUGACCAGGGAAAUUCUUUAAAGAAAUUAAAGUGGAAACACACUAACUCAACUAAACUUAAACGAAAGACGUAUUUUCCAAAGACCGUGCUCAAUGCAAUUCAUCAGAAAAAUAUAUUGGAAAUUUCUUAACCUUAGGCUAUCAAUCGAAACCAAGGGCUAUAAAUCCGACUUAUCAAAUAUCAAAUUAUCAAAAAAUUUAAUUUAAAAAAGUAAUAUUGAAGAAUGCAAUAAAUGGCAAAUAAAAUACCCAAAUGUACCAUAUUUCUUAGUAUCAUGAAAAUACAAAAGUCGUCGGGAAUUUCCUUGCCAAUAUAGGGCAAAAUUCAAUCUUCAGCUGUUAUCAAUCUCGAGAGAUGUUCUACAGCGCGCCAAACACGACAAACUAUGAGAUACAGAUACACGGCGUGUAUCCAAAUGUCGAACAAGCUGUUGCUAUAUAUACUCGCAUAUAUGAACAACAGAUAAGCCGAAGUUAAAGCCCCGUUUUUCCGGUGAUUGCAAUGUUGUUCAAUUUGCCCCGUCUAUCUAGAUCUGGGUGUCCAACAGUAUCUGUAUCUGUAUUUGUAUCUGUAUCUCGUGGCGUCAUCAGCGGUCGUGUUGAUAAGCACUGAUAAGCCAUCUAAUACGCUCCCUAUAUGGCCCGACUUUUCGCUCUCGCUCUGGGCGUCGAAAUCAAGAGCUAAAUUUCUGUUUUUAUUUUUUCACCGCUUUGUCAGCGUAUUUUUCUGCCUGUUUUUUUAUGUGUCUGUCUUUGCCGGCGACCUUAGACAUCAUCAAAUCAAAUUUUUUUGCCUCCAUUUUGCGCGUUUAAUUUGCCCCAGCUAUAAUUUGCAUAUACCUCAUAUAUAAAUUAGAUUCCCUCGCUGAACGACGCGAAAAUUGCUUUGUGUACGACUCUAUCAAAUAUGGAAAAGAAAACGCGAGUGCAUAAAUAAUUGCCAUCUUUAUAAUUGUAUCUAUUAUGAUUGCAUUUAAUUCAAAGCGGAAAUACUUACGGCCAUAAAAAGAAAGAGAUUUUCACAUAACAAGGAGAAAACAUCAAGCUAUUAAAAAGUAAAAACAAACUACGCAAUUAUUGAAUUUACAUACAAUACAAAGGCCAGGACUAUUCCCCGUUGAGCCAUUGAGUUUAAGUUGAUGAAUGUGCCAGGACUCCACCGGCGGGCCGUUUGAAUUGGUCUCCACUCAGCUGGAAGAAGUGCCGGAGGAGAGCUUUCGUUUUUGGCCUUAGUUUUCCCACCCAGAGUUUUCCUAAACCCACAGCUGCACCCUGCUCCCUCCCCCGCCAGCAUCGACCGACAUCAGCACUUAAACGCUUCACACAUGCUGUCCGUUUCUCUUUGGAUUCCAAAACGAUUUUUUCUGCCUCUUUGCUUCUGUUGUUGUCGUUGCCAUUGCUGUGUUUUUCUGGAAUUAUCCGCUUAUGCUAAUCUGUCCAACGAUUUUGAAAUUUUGAUGCUCCCUCUCUUACUCUUACUCUGGCUAUCUGUGGAUCCUGCACUUUCCACACACACACACCCACACCCACUUCACC
rnacentral:sRNA from 13 species